AUAAUUGCUGUAAGAGAAAACCUCCUUGGAAAAAGAGUGCGAUAGACAUCAUAAUUUCAUUGAUCGCAAUUACAGGAGUCAUGCUUAUUUUGCAUCUUAAACAAAGAGAUUCAGACCAAUAUGUUGAAUUGGACACUUUGUGUUUGGAAGAUAUUAGUGUGAUCCUGUGUGUGCUGAUAGUAUUCAACAUCAAGCUCAUGUCACUGAUUUACUUCAGAAUGUAUGGAUAUUUACCUAGAGGUGAAGCAUGUGAAUGUAUAUUAUACAACAUACUAAGAGUCUCACAGCUCCUGUUUUUCAUAGUCUGCUCUGCAAUAAUCCUUCUUAUGUAUCUGAAAUUACAGAACGAAGUUUCUUUUUCAGAUCCCUUAUUUUCUUUGUACAAGAGCUGGAUGGUAAAUAUAGAAAUGGUUCUGUCAUUUCUGUUCUUAGUUUUCAGUUUUGGACCCAUCAGAAAAGUAUGGUUAUCCAUAAAAUAUUUAUCCAACUGUAGAUGAAAAAUAUUUUGAAGAUAUUGUUCUUGAAUGCAACACCAACCUGGCUGUAGGAGGAACAGUAGUGGCUGCCUCAGCAAAAACCACUGGGGGCCGGACACCUACAAAGACAUCUCCUGCAGGAGGGCCUAACUGAAGACUGCCUGAAUGACUAAGGAUUGCUAACAGAGACAAUGUCAUCUAAUCAGGAACUGCCAUUUAGAAGACAUGCUAUCUUGGGUCCAAAGGGGUAUGGGUAGAGGGUAUUAAAGGAGCUCGGAGCACUAUUCAGAUGAGCUUAUUGUGUGUGGUGUUUCUCACCUGAUCCAGAAGUGUAGGCUUUGAUUCCAUGCCACCUCACCUUCAAUCCCCAAGGACAAGUAGAGUUGGACAGUAGGCAGUUCAGAACACAGGAAAUAUGUGGCACAUAUGGACUACUUCAUCAUCCUCAUUUUGUCAAUGCUUACAAACCUCCUUUCUUUGGGGCUCAUUUUUGUCUGGUACUGCAAGGACUCUGCUCACGGUUCAACCUGAUCUUCUCUUCUUUAUCGACAUUUUAUUUUAUUUUUUGCAACCUACUUUUAAUAAGAGCUCAACCUCUCCUCUAACCCACACCCAGCAGAGGUAUUAGAAGAGAAACGUUAUUAGGAUAUGGUGGAAGUGGACCUGUUCAGCAAUAGUCCUUUGGAAGUAAGCUCUCUUCAUGGGCAGCAGUUCAGUCCUGCACCAAAUAUAACUUAUCAGCUGCAAACAAGUCCCCUAGACAGGCAGACAAUAGGUAUAAACCAUCAGCUAUGGACCAAUCCUUUCGGUAAGCAGACACUAGGCAACUGUAGCUCAAUCCUGAUGAAACCAAUUUGCUUGAGGUGAGGCUAUGUAAAUGUCAAACUGCUGCAGGAACCUCACGAGCAGUAUUUGGGCCAGUUUCUCUCAGUUUCAGAGUUAUCACAAGUUGACCUCAACAAUGCUAUGUAAGGCAAACCUAUAUAUGUGUGUCUUUAGCAAAAGAAUAACAAGGCAGAAUAAACCAAGUCAAUGCUCUGUGCUCGUCUCCCACUGUCUGUGGGGUCAUAUUUAUACUCCUUCAUCAAGGGUUCUUUCACAUGUUUGCUGUAUCCAAACAUCCUUCUACCUGUGUCUGCUUCAGCGAAAUAGUUUUUCACAUGUUUGCUUUAGCAAGACAUUCUAUGUGCCUCAGGAAAAUGUCAUUUGGCAGAACUAAUGCUCCAAAGAACCACUUCACUCAUCCUCAAAGUGCUGCUGUUGUGCCCCCUCUGAUUGCUUCUUUGAUAAGUUGGCCCCUUAGCGUUUUAUGUUGUGAGUCCCAUGAAGGUAAGUGUGCAGACCUUAUUUCUGUAUUUGUCUUUUUUAUCUGUUCAUUCAGGUGACCUCAGAACUUUCACUUUUGGUUUUGCUAUGAGGGUGAGUAUGUGGUGACGAUCUUUUCUUUCUUCGUCUUUGUCUGCUCAUACUGGCAAAUAACAUACUUUCAUUUUGGUCUUGGUUUGAGGGUGAACAUGAAGACAUCUUUUCUGUCUUCUUUGUCUUUGUCAGCUCAUCACUACUAGCUAUUCACAUUCUGAGGUGGUGGUACUGAGUAUCAUAUCCUGAAUGCCUUUUCCAUCUUGGGAUCUCCUUACAGGCAUAGACCCUUUGAGCGAUGCCUGAAGGAGUUCCCUGCUUAGACUUUUGUCACCUCAUCUGUCAUAUCUGUCAUAUCUUUUCAUCAUUGGUUUUCUAUGUGCUAAUUGCUAUGGGUUCCCUCCUCUCCACCAUCAAGGAACCCCAGAUUAGAGCAUUGAAAACCCUUCAGGUUAUACAUGGUCUUAUAGUUAAGACUCAUGACCUCGACCAAUUUUGAGAGACGGGCAUGAUUUUGGUCCCCUGGAUAUCCACGGAGAUCAUGUGAGACCCUGUCCUCUGGAUGUGUGUUUUCUUCCUUGCUUGCAAGCACAAAGUACCUUCUGGGAUUAACACUCCCAUUCUCUUUGUCCCCAGGCUACGUGCAGUCAUAGCAAGCCUUUAGAAUUCUUCCCCAGAGGAAGUGACAGCUAGCUACCCAUAACAAACACUGCCAAUAUCAGGCUAAUAUUCACCUUUCCAUUACUGAUCCCAUCCCACUUUCUCAGAAUGAACAUGGUGAGCUCAGAAGUGAUGAAGACAGUACCUCUUCUCUGACCCUUUGGCCAACAGACUCCAAGCCAUCUUCUAGCCCUGCUGUCCCAGGACCCUCACUCACUAGCCCUGUUGCCCCAUUGGUGGUACUCUCAUCUUACUUGUAACAUGAUCUAGGAAGAAUUGCUUUCUUGCAUUCACUCCUGCUGUGGUAGCUCCUGCAAUGCCCAUCUCUCAUGCUGGACUGCCUCUCUCCCAGGAGCCUCUAUCUCCCCUGUUUUCCCUGUCGAUCUUGGCCCUGAUAUAGUGACUAGGUGCUGGAUUCCCUCUCCCCUGGCACACUUGGCACUACUCAGAAAAGCUGCCAAUGAUUGUGGUCCAGAUUUCCCUUAUUUUAAACAAAUACUGAAGCAAUGGGCCAUGUACGUCCACACCUAUUAUGAUUGAUAAAAUCUCCUUAAGGUGGUGCUCAACCCUGCUGUGUUUCUUAAUUGGGAAACUUGGCUGAGAAUAAGACUAGGAUUGACUUGGAAUAUAUAACCUUAGCGUUUCUUUUGUUGUGCUUAUUGACCACAGAACAUACCUUAACUCUGUGACACAGGCCACUAUUGGCUGCUUGCUUACUUUAACCAGGUUGCUGAUCUUGCCUUUAAGUGCUUAAGGCCUGCACCCCUAGAUGCAAGAUUGCUUUCACAAUCUUGUCCAACAGUCUGUGGAGUCCUUCCUGAACUUCCUGUUUCAUGUAACUGAAGCAGUAGAAAGGCAGGUCCAUGCUAGCCCAGCCAGAGACAUCUUCAUCAAGUAGCUUGUAUGGGAGGGUCUUAACACCCCCACUCACAAUGCUGUGGCAGCCAUAAAGAAUGAUGAUAUACAUAAAUAGUUUGUUGCCACUCAUGAUUUGGACCCUGAUGUGGGCCCCAUUGCCGCCCUGACCUCCUUUAUUGACACUUGGGUCAUGGAACAAAUAUCUCCUCCUGUAGGGCCCCCUGAUCACACCUGUUGGUGCUUUGGCAAGCCCGGUCACCACAGAUAGGAGUGCCCCUCAGCUAAACUCAAGACCAGAUGUCCUCCUUGUAACAAAGGUUUCCAUUUGGCUAAGGAUUUGUCAUUCUCAAAAUCAGAGAGACAGUUUAAAUUCUGAAAGAGACACCCCUGAGUUCCCCUUCCCCCAGUAAGAGGAAGCACUCUUGGCCAGGAGUCCUUUGGACCUUGUCUAUGUUUCCUAACUCUCUGAUUAGGACUGUAUAUUUACAUGGUAUAUUAAUGUAUAUUAAUGGGUUGGUUGACACAGGGGCAGAUGUCACUAUAAUGACAAAAAAUAAAUCAUGGAGAUUCCAGUCUGGUUCCUCCAUUACAGGAGUUGGAGGUCAACGGGCCAUAAAAAUUGACUACUUAACCUGUCCAUUGACAAGACUUGGAAUUCAAUCAGGGAUCUUUUGUAGCUGUUGUGGCUGAUGUUUCCCACAUCCUUUGGGGAACAGAUGUUCGAGAAGACAUGGGUGCCAUCCUUAUUAUGAAUGAUUGAGCCUUAUUUGAUGAUAUUAUGCAACAUUACCAACUAGACCACACAGGUAACAUUCAGGGAUCACUCCCAAUUCUAAUAGUCACUGCCCACCUAGCACCAAUGUGGUUUGUCAAGGAAUAUCUUGGUUUUCCCAUCUAUGGUAUUGAGAGUUUUCCUGGGUUUAGUAGCCUGGGUUGGUAUUUAGUUACUCUUAGUGAUUGUAUGACAUUGUUCAAGAUCUUUUAGUUUUUAGAGUCUCCAUUGUGAAACCUGGUGUAAUUCUGAUAGGUCUGUUUUUCCCCUUCACUGUUUUAAUAUAAUUUCAUUGUAUAUACAUUUAAUGUUUUGAUUUUUAUGAGAUAUAAAGAUUUUCUUUUCUGAACCAAUCUGUUUUUGGUUCUGGGACUUCUUGUAUAUUUUUUGGGCAUUUCUUUCUUUAGCUUAGGGAAGUUUUCUUUUACGAUUGUGUUGAAGAUAUCCCUGGUCAUUUGAAUUGGUCACGUUCAAUUUCUUCUAUACCUACUAUUCUUAGAUUUCAUCUUUCCUCUGUAUUCUGAAUUUCCUGGAUGGUUUUGGUUAGAAGCUAUUUGUACUGUGUAUUUUCUUUGAAUCUUUUGUCAGUAUCUUCUACGGUAUCUUGUAUGCCUGGCAUUCUUCUAUCUCUUAUACUCUGUUAGUGAUGCUUGGAUAUGGUACUCCUGAUCUCUUUCCUAGGGUUUUCAUUUUCAGGGUUGCUUCCAUUUGUGAUUUCCUUCAUGUUUCUAUUUCCGUUUUUAGAACCUGGACAGUUUUGUUCAAUUCCUUCAC
rnacentral:lncRNA from 1 species